UUCCGUAGGUGAACCUGCGGAGGGAUCAUUACACAAUAAAAUAUGAAGGCUGUACGCGGCUGUGCUCUCGGGCCAGUUUUGCGGAGGCUGAAUUAUUUAUUACCCUUGUCUUUUGCGCACUUGUUGUUUCCUGGGCGGGUUCGCCCGCCACCAGGACCACAUCAUAAACCUUUUUUAUGCAGUUGCAAUCAGCGUCAGUAUAACAAAUGUAAAUCAUUUACAACUUUCAACAACGGAUCUCUUGGUUCUGGCAUCGAUGAAGAACGCAGCGAAAUGCGAUACGUAGUGUGAAUUGCAGAAUUCAGUGAAUCAUCGAAUCUUUGAACGCACAUUGCGCCCUUUGGUAUUCCAAAGGGCAUGCCUGUUCGAGCGUCAUUUGUACCCUCAAGCUUUGCUUGGUGUUGGGCGUUUUUUGUCUUUGGUUGCCAAAGACUCGCCUUAAAAGGAUUGGCAGCCGGCCUACUGGUUUCGCAGCGCAGCACAUUUUUGCGCUUGCAAUCAGCAAAAGAGGACGGCAAUCCAUCAAGACUCCUUCUCACGUUUGACCUCGGAUCAUUUAGGGAUCCCCGGUGAACUUAAGCAUAUCAAUAAGCGGAGG
rnacentral:rRNA from 1 species